AUUUUAUAGUUGAAGUAAACUGAGGCAGAGAACAAACAGAACAGGGAGUUUUUUACGCUGUGGGUUAGAAAGAGAGCUUUGCAGAAAAAAAACCUCUUCUCACUGCCAGUCCAGGGUCACCCUUACUCGGUCUGGUUAGAACAAGGUCAGUCAGAGAAACUGUAAGAAAACACUGUUGGCCAGACUGUCCUUUCUGCCGGAGUAGCCUCCACUGAAAAUAGUGCUACUACUACCAUUUAAAAAACCCAGACCAACAAAACCCAAUGCUUUAGAGUGCAUUCACUGAAAAGGUUGAUACAUUUUUCUGAAGAAAUUGAAGUGUUCAGAGUUGGCUGGCCAACUGUGCACUCCAGACAGCAAUAACAGAAUAGGACUCUGGCUCUUUUUCUGUUGUUUUUUUAGAAGCAGGGCCAUGAUUAAGAGCAAUGGCUGGGGGCAUUCAUAUUGUGCCACUUGAACUGUAAUUCUUGGACUAGUGUGAGAUGAUCUAAAGCCAAAGCAUUUGCCAAGAAUGUUUUCAUUAAUCAGGAAAUAAAACUGGAUGCUUGUGGCCAACUCACUAUCCAGUGGCGUUAUUCUCACCACCUGCCGGGCAGCUUGCAGGACACCCAGGUCUUUAGGU
rnacentral:ncRNA from 1 species